CUUCCAUCAGGGCAAACCACCGGCGACGGUGGGGCGCAAAGCCGCGGAUCUUUGGCCGUCGUAGGGGCUUGAUUCAUCAAGCCCGGAUUUCGGUCUCAAGACAGCCGGGCUGCCGAG
rnacentral:ncRNA from 1 species